UUGGAUUGCUCCCUUUGGGGAAAGCCGCGGUCAUGUCCUGCAGACACUCAAACAAGCCUGCAGAGAGGCCCACGUGAAGAGGAACCAACUUUCCAACCAGGAGUGAGCCACCUAUGAACUCCUGGGUAAAUACCUAGCAUUUCCCCUAUUCAGAGAGACAAAGGCCAGGCUUGAAGGACCUGAAUAUGACCCAGCAUGAACAACACAUUCUCGGACAGAAGAGGAGACUGACCAUCAAACAGGGAACAAAUCGUCUGUGUCUCUCCUGUUUCUUUUCCAUCUCAUGUAAGGAAGUCAAGUAGAGAUUGGUGAAUGGGCAAUAUGUUUGUUUCAUUCAACAAACAUAAAUCCCUGGGAAAGACUAGAGAAGGUAUUCAUAAUGCCAGAACUUGAAGCUGUGUUGACUUUCUGGGGAAAAGUAUCCUUUGUUCUCUCAACAAGCCUGCAGUUUUAGCACCCUCUUAUGCUCUCAGGAGUCACAAAAACAGACGGGAAUGGAAUAGCAGCCUGGUGCUCCUCUUCUAUCACAGGGCUUGCUCAGCUCCGGGGAGAAUCUGCAUCUAUAAUGUCUGAUCUACAUGGUCUCCUCGGUGGCCAGAAGUUGGGAAGACCUGGUUAUACCCUGAGACUCUUCACCGCUCCCAAGGGGAUGCUGUACAUUGCAAGAUGCCAAGAGCC
rnacentral:lncRNA from 1 species